rnacentral:lncRNA from 1 species
GUCCCGGGAGCGCACGUGCGCGGCGGGGGGGCGGCGAGGGGUGGGCUGCUCGCGCUCCCCUGGGAGCUCUGGGGGUCCGCAGGGCGCCGGAAGGGUGCCGGGAUGCACCCUCGGGGGUUCGGGCGAGGUCUGCCGCCUCGGCUUCUGCACCGUGCUGCGGUGCAAAAACACAAACCCUGCUGCAGCAGCAGCGACGCCGGGAAGAGCCAUCCUCCGAGACUACGGCAGUGGCUCCUCUCCACUCACAGCUGACCCCGGGGUGCUGUCACCGCGCCGCGGAGCAGAGGGGGGCGUUGCCGCAAGUCGGGAAGCUCCCUGCCUCUCCAUCCUUUGCGCAUUUUGGUCUAAAAUCAACUCGCAUCGGUUAUUAUUUGGAAUCUGGGCCUAAAAGUUCUAUUGGUUGUCUUCAUUCAGAGUUAUGGACUGGAAGAUUGGAAGUGACCUGGGAAGGGAGAGGAAGGACAAGAAAGGGUAAAAGAGCAGCAACCCCGGAAGGUAGCCAUGAGUGUGAGCAUGCGUGCUCAGUCAUGGCCGACUCUGCGACCCCAUGGACUGAAGCCCCGAAGACUCCUCUGUCCGUGGAUUUCUCCAGGCAAGAAUACUGGAGUAGGUUGUCAUUUCCUCCUCCAGGGGAUCUUCCCGAUCCAGGGAUUGAAGGCACAUGUGUUGAGUCUCCUGCAUUGGCUACUUCUAUUCUUAAGACGUGAUUAUUCUUGCUCAAACUCUUAAGUGCUCUGUGCUUCUAAUCAUACACACAUUUCAGCCACUACUCACCUCUCCACUCACUCUGCUUCAGCUAUGUGAUCAGCCUCCAGCUAGUCCCUAAACCAGGGAGGGGCACCCUCUCCUGGCUUUUAAAUUAACCUUUUCAGUUGCUGUCUAAAAUACUUCUGGGGACUUUCCUGGCAGUCCAGUGGCUAAGACUCCAUGCACCCAAUGCAGGGGUGUGGGUUCCAUCCCUGGUCAGGGAACUAGAUCCCACACGCUGCAACUAAGGGUUCGCGUGCCGCAACUAAAGAUCCUGAAUGCUGCAACUAAAUCUGGCACAGCCAAAUGAAUAAAUUUUUUAAAAAUUAAUAAAUAAAAGAAAUA